rnacentral:lncRNA from 1 species
UGUCAUAAUGUGGUAUCACAUCAUGGUUGAUGUAGGCAAACAGCUCAAUUCUGACUUCACAGGAGUCAGAGCAGGGCUUUCAGGGGCCAGAAAUAGAGAAGAUUGGCCUUUCCAUUUUCUGUCUUCUAUGAUUACAGAUGCAAUGCCCCUUACUGGAUUUUAUGCAUAUAAAUGUGUUUAUAUCUCAAUGAAUAACAAAGCAUCUUUACAAGAUAUAGACAAAUAUCACAUGGUUGAAAAUACAGGACAGUUUAUCAAGAUGGAGGUGUUUGACUGAAAGACUAUUCUGUACUUGGACAUAAAAAUCCCAUGUAUGAGAACCAUUGGCUAAAGGCAGAAGUUGCUGGGAAACAAAAGACAGAGGGGGAUGUACUACACUGACUGCAGUUCAUUAGGAAAUUGAG